CAACCAUCAAGCCCCCGGCUUGUGUUGGGGACCUGCGGCUGUCCGCAGGCCCUGAAAACCAGUGGCGGGCUCGCUAGUCACACCGAGCGUAGUAGCAUACAUCUCGCUCAGGGCGUGCUGCGGGUUCCGGCCGUUAAACGACCUUCAUAACCCAA
rnacentral:misc_RNA from 1 species